UCCGAGAGCUGUCUGGUAUUACAUUUAUCGAUGGCCACCUGAUGACUGACAUUCCCAUCAAACCAGAGUACAACUACAGCAUACAGGUUGGAGCAUUGACAGCAACAGGCCUGGUUGGAAACGUAACACAAAAUGUCACCUUUGCUUCUGAAAUAGGACCCCCUCCAUUGCCACAGAAAGAUUAUCCACCUGUGGUUACCCUGGUUACAGACCAAGACGGCUCCAAUCAACUCACAGUUUCUGUUAACC